UACAAAACAAAAGCCCAAAUUUGUAAAUAUAUUGGACAGACAAAAUCACUCUGUCCAUUUACUAUUAAAAUUUAAAGUCUAUACUUAGCUCUUUGUGGAUCAACCACGGUUUAUAGAUCAACUGCCGUCUCUGAGCCACACUCAGGGCGUCACUGCCUUAGAGAGACCUCAAGUCAGAGCAAAAGACCAGCUACCGGGCUAAGUGGUUGUUAACACCCUGUGCCGAGUUCUCAUGGUAAUCCCAUGAGAAGGGCGAGAUGCAGUGAGCGAGAUGAGUCUGACUGUAAACUCUCUGACAGCCUUAUCACGGUUGUGCUACACACUAUCAAAUGACCAUCACCAGCCCCAUGCCUGGAACAAACUUCUCCUUUCAACAGGCAAUCCUGAAAUAAAAUGUCCUUUGCGGGGAGAGGGUCAAAAAAAGAAGAGGACGGUGGAGUGUGUCUCUGGCUUCACGGUUCGUCUCAUCUGUAAGGUCUGCCAGCUUUGCUGAACUGUUUCUAUCUUACUUUUGUUAAGAAACCGAAAAGGAGAAGCGGGGGGAAAAGAUAAAUAUGAAAUAAAUCUGACAGAGAAAAUCAAGUGGACGUUGAUAUAAGAACAAGAAGAUAAUUAAAUUGAUAUUGGUCUAGAGGAAAAAGACGUGAGGAGAAGAUUUUUAGGAGAAAGAAAAAAAUCUGAAAGCUCCAAAAAAUAGGAAAG
rnacentral:lncRNA from 1 species